rnacentral:tRNA from 1 species
GCGAGCGUGGCGAAAUUGGUAGACGCACCAGCCUUAGGAGCUGGCGGGGCAACCUAUCCCGGUUCGAGUCCGGGCGCUCGCA